rnacentral:rRNA from 1 species
UGUGCCGCCCUGAAGGGCGUAUGGUGGAUGCCUUGGCAGACAGUACCGAUGAAGGACGUUUGAGGAUGCGAUAAGCCUCGGGGAGCCUCCAACAUGGCUUCGAUCCGAGGAUUUCCGAAUGGGGCAACCCGCCGGCCGUCAUGGGCCGGCACGGAACCUUGUUGUUCCGGGGGUACGCAGGGAAGUGAAACAUCUCAGUACCUGCAGGAAGGGAUACUCCGUGAGUAGUGGCGAGCGAAAGCGGAUCAGACCAAACCAUGGGCGCGUGAUACCCGUCGGGGGUUGCGUCCGUGGUGUUGAGGGAGCGUGUGUCCCGGUUCCGACGGACCGGGCGGGAGUCAUAAAACGGCUUGCCAGGGGAACAGGCUUGAAGGCCUGGCCGCAGAGGGUGCCAGCCCCGUACCUGGAAGCUUGCCGUCUUCCGAUCAUGCGUCCCAAGUAGCGCGGGCCUCGUGGAAUCCCGUGUGAAUCCGCCCCGACCGUGGGGUAAGUCUAAGCAUACCUGUCUGACCGAUAGCGUACCAGUACCGUGAGGGAAAGGUGAAAAGCACCCCGGGAGGGGAGUGAAAGAGUUCCUGAAACCGUGCGCCUACAAUCCGUCGGAGCCUUCUUUGUGGGGUGACGGCGUGCCUAUCGAAAAAUGAGUCUGCGAGUCAGUGGUGCGUGGCGAGGCUAACCCGUCGUGGGGGAGCCGUAGCGAAGGCGAGUCUCAAAAGGCGUUUUGAGUCGCGUGCCCUGGACCCGAAGCGGGAUGAUCUAGCCCUGGGCAGGUUGAAGCGCGGGUAAGACCGCGUGGAGGACCGAACCCACCUGGGUUGAAAACCGGGGGGAUGACCUGGGGCUAGGGGUGAAAGGCCAAUCAAAUUCCGUGAUAGCUGGUUCUCUCCGAAAUGCAUUUAGGUGCAGCGUCGGUUGAUUGCAUCGCGGGGGUAGAGCUACUGGAUGCUUGCGGGCCCGUGUCGGGUACCAAUAGCAGCCAAACUCCGAAUACCGUGGAUGUGUAUUCCGGCAGUGAGUCGGCGGGGGAUAAGCUCCGUCGUCGAGAGGGAGACAGCCCAGAUCGUCGUCUAAGGUCCCGAAGCGUGUGCUAAGUGGGAAAGGAUGUGGAGUCGCAUAGACAGCCAGGAGGUUGGCUCAGAAGCAGCCAUCCUUGAAAGAGUGCGUAACAGCUCACUGGUCUAGUGGUUCCGCGCCGACAAUGUAGCGGGGCUCAAGCACACCACCGAAGACGCGGCAACGGCCUUUUCGGCCGUUGGGUAGGAGAGCGUCCCGCGUGGGGCGAAGCGGCCGUGGAAACGUGCCGUGGACCGCGCGGGAGCGAGAAUGCAGACAUGAGUAGCGAGAGACGGGUGAGGAUCCCGUCCGCUGGAUGACCAAGGGUUCCGGGGCCACGUUCGUCGUCCCCGGGUGAGUCGGGUCCUAAGGCGAGGCCGACAGGCGUAGUCGAAUGGAUGAACGGGUGGAUAUUCCCGUACCGGCAGCGAACCGCAAGAGCCGAACGGAUGAGUACUAACCUCCGGUCGCGUGGCGUCGUUCCCUUCGGGGUUCGGUGUCCGCGAUUGUUGGGAGCGUAGUCCUGGUAGGUUAGCGCACAGGGGUGACACGGAAUGGGAGCCGGCCGCGGAGGUGGUUUUCCGUGGUCAAGCACGCAGCCCGUCCCAUAGGCAAAUCCGUGGGACAUGUAGGGUGAGGUGCGAUGAUGGGCGCCUUUUGGCGCGAUAUCCGGUGGUCCAGGCCGUCGAGAAAAGCCUCGGCGCGAGGGGCGUUGCCGCCCGUACCCCAAACCGACACUGGUGGUCAGGUAGAGAAUACCAAGGCGAUCGAGCGAAUCCUGGUCAAGGAACUCGGCAAAUCACUCCCGUGCCUUCGGUAUAAGGGAGACCCCCGGACGUGAAGAGGCUUGCCCUCGGAGCGUCGGGGGGUGGCACAGACCAGGGGGUAGCGACUGUUUACCAAAAACACAGGUGCAUGCGAAGGCGCAAGCCGCUGUAUAUGCACUGACGCCUGCCCGGUGCCGGAAGGUUAAGAGGAUCCGUCAGCCCUCGGGUGAAGCGGUGAAUUCAAGCCCCGGUAAACGGCGGUGGUAACUAUAACCAUCCUAAGGUAGCGAAAUUCCUUGUCGGGUAAGUUCCGACCUGCACGAAUGG